GCAAGUCGAACGCAAAAUUUUUUCUUCGGAGAAAAGAGUAGAGUGGCGCACGGGUGAGUAACGCGUAAGUUAUCUACCCUGGCAUCUGGAAUAACUCACCGAAAGGUGUGCUAAUACCGGAUACGUUGAUUUAUCAAGAAAGGUGGCCUCUGAUUUAAGCUACCGUGCCGGGAGGAGCUUGCGUACCAUUAGCUAGUUGGUGGGGUAAUGGCCUACCAAGGCAACGAUGGUUAGCGGGUCUGAGAGGAUGAUC
rnacentral:rRNA from 1 species